UUGGGAGUAAGGGAUCACAUUCUUGCAGGAGGGUGGGUGAGAGGAGGUGUAGUCCAGAUAGUUAUGGGAGUCUUGGUCACAUUCUUGCAGGAGGGUGGGUAAAUAUUUCUCAACACAAAAGUUGGAUGCCUUCCAAAAUGCGGCAUAUCUAUGUUUUGAGAACAAGCCAAAACCUUUUUUUUUCCACAACAUGAUCUUUUCUGCAGUACUUUAAAAGAAAAUCAUUUUUUAAACUUUCAAUGAAAUAAGAUUUGAAAGACUUGAAUUGACGAUGCUUUCAGACUAUGUUUUAGGACAGUCUUCAGUCAAAUGUUAGGAAUGUUUUCCUUGCAACAGUCAUGAGAACUGUGUGAAUACAAUCCAAUUUUCACAGGGGCUUCUUUAACCAAAGUGGGGGAAAGGGACUUGUCAAUCUUUUCCAUAGCUAUGCUUAAGGGUCCUACCCCUUUACCCAUCCCUCCCACUUCCUGGGUGUCUUUACACACUAGCUCUGUCUCACUGCAUAGAAAUGGAACAGUGAGGGAUGCACACAGCUAUGCUCCCAAGGUUACCUGUCUUGUUUUGCAAGAUAGCAGUUCUUAGCUCUGUCUGUUCUCAGAUUUCUGCUUGGCAUGUUUUAAUUUUAGCUAAUUUAGGGGAGAGGUCUGGUUUAUGAUCCAUCUCAACAUCAAUAUUCAGUUUGUCUAGUCAUAACAUUGGGUCUACCUCCAGGUUUUUUCUUGUGUUGUAUGUAGCGGAAUGUAGAUAUUACAUUCCUGUUGCCAAUCAUUUUUACCCUUGCAGCUCAUUUACUAAUUCCUACAGCUUUUUAAGUUCUUUAUCCGAUUGUAAAGUGCACAGAUGGGUACCAUGGACUAACUUAUUCUGGACUGUUUCUAACUGAAUUGUUCCUUUCAUAACCUCUUUGAAAAGCCUGUCAAGGUCAGAAUCAUAGUUGCCAUUCGCAUAUUUCUAUAACUGCCAGUACAGCUCCCAUUACUGAUGGGUGUCAAGGUGGCUCAGUGGUUAGCACUGUUGCCUCACAGCGCCAGGGACCCGGGUUUGAUUCCAUCCUUGAGUGACUGUUUGUUUGUGUGGAGUUUGCACAUUCUUCCUGUGUCUGCAUGGAUUUCCUCUUGGUGCUCCAGUUUCUUCCCACAGUCCAAAAAUGUGGAGGUUAGGUGGAUUGGCCAUGAGAAAUGCAGGGUUACAGGGACAGGGUAGCAGGGUAGGUCUGGAUAUGAUGCUGUUCAGAGGGUCAGUGUAGACUCGAUGGGCCUGCUUACACUGUAGGGAUUCUAUUUUCCAUUAAAAUAUCCAUCAGUCACAAUCUAAUGUAUCCCAGUGCCAAUGUAACUUAAAGACUGCUGCUUCUCCCAGCUACUCAAAUGUAAAGCCAAGCAACCAAACUUCCGUGUAUCCCACUUCCCGACCUGAAACGUCAGCUUUCCUGCGCCUCUGAUGCUGCCUGACCUGCUGUGUUCCUCCAGCUCCACACUGUUAUCUCUGACUCCAGCAUCGGCAGUUCUUACUAUCUCUGAUGACAAUGUUGCUUUUAGGCGGUUCGCAGUCAUUACUACUUCAUAUAGGCAGUCAACAAUUUUUGUGGUAAUUUUCUGAUAGAUUAUUGAGUACCUCCAAAAAUGCAGGUUAACUUCAUGUUUAUUCAAACAACCUGAGCAAGAGAGUCUGUCUUAAGCUGGUAAAACAGAACUCUGUCUGAUACUUAGUCUGGCUCCACUCAGCUCUGUCCCAUUCUGUCCGAUCUCUAUGCUAUAAGUAUAGAAAUAUCAUCAACCUUUAUAUCCCCGCAAUCACAUACAUGUACAUGGUUUAUAUGUUAUUUUUGUACAAUAAACAGAAAUGUUCUUUCCUGGGUUUUUGCCUUAUCUUGUCUAUAAUACUCCCUCUAAUUUUCUUUUAUGGUGGGUGGAUCUCCUACUGAAACCUGAAGUCAACGCAUUGGCACUCCGAUCAGCGUGUGCAGAAAUUCAGAGGAACCUCAGAGCUGCCGCACGGUAUUGAGGGAAUGUUGGUUGUAACCUCGUUUUACAAACGUUAAUGAGGUGUCUAAGACCAAAGGGCAUAAGUUUGAGCACAUGGACUAUUGUGGUUCAAGAAGGCAGCUUAAUACCACCUUCUCAAGGGCAGCUAAGGACCGUAAUAAACGCUGGCAAUAUCCACAUCCCAUAAAUAAAUAAUAAAACAAAAUAAGCAGCCUAUGAUUGGAGGAGCAGCAAACAGUAUGUGAGAAAAAAUUGAAGUAUAGCUCUUCACAUGAAAAAGUUGGACCACAUGCUUAAGUUGACUGGAAGAAACAACUCCAAUAAUAUCUUUAAGAACCCAUUAGGCACUUUCAGCCUAACAAUACACUUGGUGCUGCAAGCAGAUUCUGGCUGGGAAAACAUGCCGUGUCCUACAAUGAUCCUCCAAUGAUGGGUUCGGCUGGGUUGGCGCCUCUGCAGUUUGGGGAAUUUGGAGCAAAAUCCCAAGGGGCUACUCCAUGCCAAGAAGGACUGUCUGGAGGAAGUAGAUUUCCAAAGCAAACCAAAGGUGUCACCCGGAAGGGGUGGAUUCUGCUGACCAGCCUCUGUAUGUCAUCUUGGGAGGUGCGAAACUUAAAGGAGGUGGUGAACGGUACCUUGACUGCUGCGCUGACCACAACAAAACAGUAGAAGUCAGUGCUGGCAGAGGCAGCUCAAGUUAGUCACUGUCCAGCAGAACAAGUGGGCGAAACUUGGAAGAUGAAUCCAAUAAAAAAGGUGUGCUCAUU